UUGACAGCGGCGCAUGGUGGGACGACUGCGCACGUGCCCACAGAGAGGGCUCUGAGUGCCAUCUCUGGCACACGUGCCACAGGUUCACCACCACUGCCCUGUGCCAUGCCAGCCUCGCUUACUUGCAGGAACCUAUAAAAGCUCAGGCCUUUUUUAACCCCUUAUCUGAUUGCACCACUUGCUCAAGCCAAGCAAAUAACGUGACAUUUGUUGUUUUCCCCCCCCCUAAUUCCAGUUGUUCUUAUUUGAUGUCCGCCAGUUGAAUUGGUCAGCAUACAUAGAAUAUUUCUGUCUAGGAGCUAAGAUGCAUGUGCUGAAUGAAGAUUUGGCUGGCAUUCCUGCAGCAAAGGAGCAUUUACGAAAGUAAGGCAUUCAUGUAUACUUUUAGUAUACAGAACAGGACAUUUUACUCACAGAGUAAAAUUCCAUUUGAAAUAGCUAGAAGUAUUUGAGAUAUUGCAAAUGGUUCUUUGCUAAAAGUUUUUUUUUUGUUUUUUUUUUUUGAACUUGUGGAUCCCCCCCAAAAAUACAAUUAAAUCAAAUUAAGUUGAAGAAAAAUACAGUCUGAAAUUUUGAUGCCAACAAUGUUUCGUUUCUGGGAGCAACCUGAAAAAUGUAGCUGAUCUACUUGCUGCACUAUUUGCCACUCUCUCUCUUUCUCUCUUUCUCUCUCAUCAAGUCUAUGACUACUUAUUUUGCAAAACGUAAACAUAACCCAUAAUGCAUGCAAGAAGUUAUGUUUAUGUUAUCCAGUUGGAGGCAUCUUGGUUAUUGACAGCUCAUUUCACUUUUAUAAAAUAAAUUAAGAGUGGUGUUUUUUUAUGUAUACUAUAAACAAGUUUUGCAGCCUUAAUCUUUUAUUCCAUCUUAUUGCAAAGCUUCUGUUUUGCUUCUUAUUGCUUCUGUUUUUUGUUCCCUAAAUCUAAUUUAGUGAGUCAAUUAGGCCAUUGCAGCAAAUUCUCAAAGUCUCUCCAUUGGAAAUUUCAUAGAUGGGGCACCAGUCAGCUUCCACAUCUUUGCAAAGAGUAUUCUGGCUGCAGCCAGCAUACAAGAUGCCAUCUCUUUAUGUACUGAUUUCACCAACUAUUCCACAUAAAUUAGUAGAGAAAACACUGGGUGGAGGGGGAUUUCAUACCCUCAGAUCAUUUUAAUGUGACAUUUUAUUUCUGCCAGUAUUGAAUUGUCUUAUCACAGUUCUACCACAUGUGAAAUGGCUCCCUGUGUACUUUUAGACAUUUGCAAUAUGUGGUUGGGGGUUGUUUUAUUCAUUUUUUUUGUAUCUGGAAUGAUAUACACCUACUCGCAAUUUUAAAGCAAUUUCUCCUUAUUCCCAUAUGUAAGGGAAAUCUGUGAGUAUUUUUCCAGAUAUUUUCCUAGAUAUUCAACAAUACCUUUCCCCCAAUAUUUUCAGCCAAUUUUUACUUUCACUUCCUCUGGUUUUGUAUCAUAUUUGUUAAGUAGCUACCAAUGUGUGUUUCUUCCUCAGUUAUUUCUCUUAUAUGUAAGGUAUUUUUCAACACAAGAUUGAACUUGAGAGAACUUAAACCAAAGAGAAUUUUUUCCUUGCAACUCAGCCUGGACUGCUGUGAUCAUAGUGCCCUGAAUAACUUCUUUUGAAAAGGCUGCUCCCUUCUCCCAAACAUGGUAUCAUUUGAAACCUGUGAUAGUUUAGUAUUUGCUAAAAAAAUUCACUCUCUUUUACUUCCCUGGUUUAUUUGUUGCAUAUAAUUUAUAGGAUUUGUUUGAAGUUUUAUCUAAGAUUUCCUUUCUCAUAGGGGAGCAAUAUUCUUUGCGUUGCUAGGCUAAUAAUUUACCAACCUGUUACCCCAUUUGAAAGUAUUCUGUUUGCUUGCUUUGGUUGUUGGUGUAGUUACUUUUUUAUAUCUAUGUGCAUCCAUACAGUCUAAUUGUUGUUCUUUCCUAAAAGAUUUUUAACAUUCUUUUUCUUUUUUGUAAAAGCUUUGUUUCUCUGUUCUUUCUGCCAGGCUAAGAAACAUUCAAUAUGUCAUCAACACCACCCUGAUUGUGUUCAUCUGGCGCGUAUUUAUUGCAAGGUCGCAAAUGGCACAAAACAUGUGGUACUUUGUGGUACAGCUCUGCUACAAGUUCCUUAGCUACUUUAGAGUUUCCAGCACCCUCAGGCAUUGAACAUACCUGUCUGGUUAUUGACUACCAGCUCUUGGAAGGACCUCCAGUCAACAAUUGUGUGCGUGUUUGAGCUUCAAAGCAGCAGAGUAUCUCUCAGCUGCUGUGUCAUUCAACAUAUUUCAUUAAAUACUCAUAGCUUAUUUUUUCCUAAUAAACCACCAUCUUAUGUCUCUAGGUCUACCAGGCUACAUAUCAAAGCCAUAACUAAAUAUUUGGACACAGGUCAUUUUAGAGCACUUACCCCUGCUGAAGGGAUGUAGAUUACCAAAGCUGCCCUAUUUCACCUCGGAUACAAAACACUAUUUAAUAACCCUCAGUCUCAUCUCUUCCUAUGCCCCAAAUGAAAUGUGAAAAUAUCUGAUAAAACAAGAAAUAGCUGACUAAGUGGAGGUAUAUUUUUCAAAACCCUUCAUUAGAUUGAGAGCAAUUGGGGUUUAAAUGUUUUGCUUUUGCAUGGGGCUGCCUCACUUCAAAGAUAAACAAGAGAAAAUAAAAUCAGCAUGAGAGUGGUGGAAGGUUUCAGAUUUUUCUCUCUUCUCAUGGCACACAGAUUUCAGUACACUUUUUAAAAUGCAUGUCUUUCCCACAGACUUAACUGGUUUUAUACAUUUCUUCUUUUCCACGGGGAACACUGCAAAUUGUAUUAAGAUGAAAAACUAUGGGCCCCUAAACCACAAAAUGCCCAACAUACUACAAUUUCAAUGAUAUUUUUUUUCAUUUUUAUGCCGUGAAAAGUAUGUCAUUUUUCUUUUUUUCUUUUUUCUUUUGCAGAAGCCACCAUAGUUAAGCUGAUAUAUUUGAUAUUUCAGAUAUAUUUGAAGCAUAAAUCAUCUCCAAUUCAUCACAAAGUUCCAGGGCCUUCCCUGUCCUGACGAUCAUUUAUAUGGACAGUAACAAUUUGCAAACAUUCCUUUUGGGUUCAGAUAUUGCUUUUUC